CCUCCUUUUUCUGCGUGGCAGUUGCUGCAUGGCAGUUGCAACCCUCCUUUUUUUGAGUGGCAGUUGAAAAAUGAAAGUACCUCUUGGUCCCCUCCCACAACCAACCAGACUUGAGGGCCUACUUUUCAUUCUGGUCCCCUCCCACAACCAAUCAGACUGGGCAUGGGCCAAUGGGAAACCUCUAGAGGGCAUUUAAGCCCCAGAAAAUUCUGUAGCUAUUGCUCUUGAGCCAUUAGCUUGAUCCUACUUCUGCUCUGUGGAGUAUACUUUCAUUUAAAAUAAAUCUCUGCUUUUCUUGCCUUGUGUGUUUUGUCCAGUUCUUUGUUCAAAACACCAAGAACCUAAACAACUAUGCUCAACUGGUAACACAUUUUGGUGAGCCAGCAAGGAGGUAAGCCCAAAGUUUGGGAUUUGGUUUUACUGUUUCCUCUUUCUCUCUCUUUUUCCUUUUCAAGCUGGGAUUCUUGAUGGACACUGUGCCUAAGCAUGGAGGCAACUGCAGGUUUCUGGCCAGGGUCACUCUCUGGUGAAAAUGAAAGGUCCAUGUGGAAACACCUGACUGCCACCACCUGGUUCAGGGUCUUGCACUGUCACCUACGCUGGAGUACAGGGAUGUGACCUCAGCUCACUGCAACCUCCACCGCCAGGCUCAAGAAAGCUUCUCAUCUCAGCCUCCCAAGGAGCAGGAACUACAAGUGCACACCACCAGGCCAAUCUAUCUAUCUAUAUUUAUCUAUAUCUAUAUCUAUAUCUAUAUCUAUAUCUAUAUCUAUAUCUAUAUCAUCAUCUAUAUCUAUCAUCUAUAUCUAUAUCUACAUCGAUAUCUAUAUUUUUUUAAACUAGAGACAGGAUUUCAUCACAUUGCCUAGGCUGAUCUUGAACCUUUGACCUCAAGUAAUUCACCUGCCUUGGCCUCACAAAGUGCUAGAAUUACAGGUAAGAGCCACCAUGGCCAGCAAAAAAUUCAGAAUUCUAUCAGAUAAAGUUAACAAAGAUAUUAAAAUAUAAGAAUAACACAGAAAUUGUUGAGUUAAAUAUGCAGUCUACAUGAUGAAGAAUGCAUCAGAGUCUCUUAAUAGAAUUAAUCAAACAGAAGAAUCAAUGAGCUUGAAGAUAAGCUAUUUGAAAAUAUAGUCAGAGGAUACAAGAGAAAAAAGAACAAAAACAAAGA
rnacentral:lncRNA from 13 species